GGUGGCUCAGUGGUUGAGUACUUGCCUGGCAUGCAUGAGGCCCUGGGUUCGAUUCCUCAGCACCA
rnacentral:tRNA from 1 species